UCGCCACCCCAAAACCCCCUCCCUUCCUCUCCCCGACGCUCCCCUCGCUCCGAGCCUUCAUCCUCUUCGGCCAGAUCAACCGGGCGCGGCCCCUACCCUAAGCAGGGAGGGCGGAUCGCCGCUGCGCGGGCGCACGGGAAGGGGUGGCGGCGGAAGCGCAUCCCCAAGAUCUAGCCCGUCAAGCACCGUGUCGAAGUCUCUCCUUCGAGGAGCUCUAUGUGCGGGUGUGCGGAGGCGCUCGUGAGGGCGGUGGUGGCCUUCUUCGACGCCUUCCUCGUUGACUGCUUCCUCUUCUGGUUCCGCCGCCACCGCCGCCGCCCCGGCCCCGACAGCCCCGCCUCCGCCCACCGGGAUCCGCUCGUGCCCAAGGACUGGACAGGGGAGGCGCUCCCGGCCUCGGACGAAGAGAAAGGUUUUGCAGAGAGCACAUUGCCGAACCAACAGUUGGCAGAUGGCGAUGACACAGAUGAGGAGCUUAGGCGAGAGAACACUACUUCAGUUAAUACACUAUCCAGUACUGCUAGUUCUCAUCUCACUUGUUGUGCUUCUUGUACUAGGAGCACUCUUUGUUAUCCCAAGAUCUAACAUCAAAGGCAACAUGGUGAAUCUAGCACAGGCAUCGUUGGCCAUCCUCUUCGAGGCUGUGUUUAGUGUAGGAUGAGCUGCAGCAGGACAACCUGUAGCGGAAGAACUUCGAGGACAAGAUCAAGGAGAACCAGGAGACGAUCACCGGUUACCUCAUCCUCGUCGGCAUGGUUGGCUCCUUUGGCAGACCCCUCUUUGGCUCCGACCAACUUACUUUUGUCGCUGGUAGCAGCAUUUCCAGGUACAGUUGUGUCCUGCUCUCUUGCCCUCCGUUUAGUUUUUGUUGGAGUGUGCAUGGUGGCAUCCUGAGCCUGCACUGUAAAAUAUGCUUUGCCUUCUUCAUGAGCUGGCACUAUAAAUUUUGCUUUGUCUUGUUGAUAAUGCCAUAUGUCCUAUGCAAUCAGAUUACAUUUCUGUUUGUUAUGGUAGUAUAAAAAAUAUUGGUGUUGUCGUAAUUUUCAUAGUGUGUGCCUUUCAUUUCUUUAUUUUGAUUGUUUCCAUUUGUAUUCUAUAUGCUUCUAAUGGCUGAUCCUUCCAAUGCCAGGUGUUGUGUGUUCUGGAAGAUGGAAGAGGAAGAAAAUUUAUUUUUGUUGAACUAUUUAUUUUUUUAUUAUGUUUGUUGUACAUAUGAUUUAUAGUUCUGUAUAGGAAUAUGAUUUGAGAAUCAUUUGUAUGAAUAUGGGCCGCAUAUAUGUGAAUGGGCUGAGAAGUGUACUGGACCAACUCCCAAGAUUGAAUUAUUAUUUGACUGUAUAAAAAGGCUGAAUGUAAACCAGAAAAUGCGCUGCACAAAAUAGUACAUAUAUUCUUGGAAGGCCAAACGUGCAUAAAAAUUGAUGGGCUGAAUAGUUGGGCUUGGCCCAUGUAGCUGACAAAAAUUAACAGAAAUAAAUGUACUAAAUGGGCUAAAUUGUUGGGCUCGGCCCGUUUAAAACACCGAACUGGACCGGGCUGAUUCUUAUCCACGUCAGCUUGCCACGCUGGAUCCUACGUGGUCUGGGGAGGCUGCUAGUGACCAAAAUUUUGGUCGAAGAACCAACGACCUUUUACAGAAGGUCGUUAAUUUCAGUUUACGACUGC